rnacentral:rRNA from 1 species
CGCCAGACUCCUACGGGAGGCAGCAGUAAGGGAUAUUGGUCAAUGGGGGAAACCCUGAACCAGCAACGCCGCGUGAGGGAAGACGGUUUUCGGAUUGUAAACCUCUGUCCUCUGUGAAGAUGAUGACGGUAGCAGAGGAGGAAGCUCCGGCUAACUACGUGCCAGCAGCCGCGGUAAUAUGGAGGGGGCAAGCGUUACUCGGAAUUACUGGGGGUAAAGAGUGCGUAGGCGGGGUAAUAAGUCAGAUGUGAAAUCCUGUGGCUUAACUACAGAACUGCAUUUGAAACUGUUACUCUGGAGUGUGGGAGAGGUAGGUGGACUUCUUGGUGUAGGGGUAAAAUCCGUAGAGAUCAAGAGGAAUACUCAUUGCGA